rnacentral:pre_miRNA from 1 species
AGUGGGAUAACUGGGUUACGUGGUGGUUCCAUCCCAGAUUUCUGAAAAAUCUCCAUACUGCUUUCCAGAGUGGUUGCACCAAUUUGCAGUUCCACCAGUAAU